UCUUAUGCACAAAAUAAUGUACGCGCUUUUGGAAUUGUUGAUCGGAGAGGGGCGACAGCCAUGGAGGUUUCGCCGGAAAAGGAAAAAAAAUGGUUGGUCCGACGUGAGUGACGAAAAAAGGAUUUUGGUCAGAUCUUUACCAUGUUCCGGCGAAUUUUGGAAGAGGUGGCCGAAUCCGGCAUGUUUGAUAAUUUCCGGCGGCAAUUGGAGUAGCGCCGGGCAUAUCUGGUCGGAUUUCGGGGGGUGGUGGCGUCGCCGGUGAGGGGAGUGGAUUUUUCGGCGAGUAGGGGUGUCUUCCGAUGGAUGGGUGAUGGUUCGCCGGAUUUUCGGUCAGUUUCCGGCCAGAAACUCACCGAAAAAUUGAAAAAAAAAAACUAUAAUCUUAUUCUUUUCCAAUCACUCUUUCUCGAUCUCUCUUCUUUUCCUCUUUUCUCUCUUCUCUCCCUCACUGGUUUCUUCUUAUUUUUACUGCAUUUGUGUGUGUUCCUAUAAGUAUGAACGUGAGUGUGCAUUCAUGAAAAAUGGAAUGUUUCUGUGAGGUCUAUUGUGCUGUGU
rnacentral:lncRNA from 1 species